UUGGAGGGCAAGUCUGGUGCCAGCAGCCGCGGUAAUUCCAGCUCCAAUAGCGUAUAUUAAAGUUGCUGCAGUUAAAAAGCUCGUAGUUGAAUUUCGGGACCAUCAUGUCGGUCGUGCCUCGGUACGUACUGGUAUUGUUGGUUUCCCCCUUCUGACGAACCAUGAUGUCAUUUAUUUGGUGUUGUGGGAAAUCAGGACUGUUACUUUGAAAAAAUUAGAGUGUUUAAAGCAGGCUCACGCUUGAAUACAUUAGCAUGGAAUAAUGAAAUAGGACGUUCGAUUCUAUUUUGUUGGUUUCUGGGAUCGACGUAAUGAUUAAUAGGGAUAGUUGGGGGCAUUAGUAUUCAAUUGUCAGAGGUGAAAUUCUUGGAUUUAUUGAAGACUAACUACUGCGAAAGCAUUUGCCAAGGAUGUUUUCAUUAAUCAAGAACGAAAGUUAGGGGAUCGAAGACGAUCAGAUACCGUCGUAGUCUUAACCAUAAACUAUGCCGACUAGGGAUCGGAUGAUGUUAAUUUUUUAAUGACUCAUUCGGCGCCUUACGGGAAACCAAAGUGUUUGGGUUC
rnacentral:rRNA from 1 species